UACGUAGGGUGCAAGCGUUGUCCGGAAUUAUUGGGCGUAAAGGGCGCGUAGGCGGCCAUGCGUGUCUUCCGUGAAAUCCCUCGGCUUAACUGAGGACGUGCGGAAGAAACUGCAAGGCUCGAGUCCGGGAGAGGGGGGUGGAAUUCCCAGUGUAGCGGUGAAAUGCGUAGAUAUUGGGAGGAACACCGGUGGCGAAGGCGGCCCCCUGGACCGGUACUGACGCUGAGGCGCGAAAGCGUGGGUAGCAAACGGG
rnacentral:rRNA from 1 species